AGGGGCUGGAUUGGUUGUCGCCGCGGGUCGCCUCGACCGCCUCGUGGGCAACCUGCCUGUGUCGAUGCUCGGGUCCAAGUGUGUGGCCUGGGGGCUUCGUCAUUGAUGGGGAAGCCGCGCGUUGCUUUAUUGGGUCGAGAUUCAGCCGAUUCCGGCCGGAAUGUCUGGUCGGAGUUGGGCCGCCACCGCGGAACCGUGCGUCAUGGUGGUCGGUAUUCUCUGCACCAUCCCCAACGGUAUGAAUCUCGUCCCCUGUUCUGCCCUCGUGUUAGCUUCGAGGCACGCUAUCCGUACAUAGGGUUAUUGCACUGUGGCGCCUGGGGGGGCUUCUCGCCGGCAAUGCUCCUCAAUGGCGGACUGUUGUGCGCCACCAUUUUGUGGCCGCGGGAGGAAGAGGCAGUCCCGACCGUUGAU
rnacentral:lncRNA from 7 species